rnacentral:rRNA from 1 species
UACGGGGGGGGCAAGCGUUGUUCGGAAUUACUGGGCGUAAAGGGCUCGUAGGCGGCCAACUAAGUCGGAUGUGAAAUCCCUCGGCUUAACCGGGGAACUGCGUCUGAUACUGGAUGGCUUGAGUUCGGGAGAGGGAUGCGGAAUUCCAGGUGUAGCGGUGAAAUGCGUAGAUAUCUGGAGGAACACCGGUGGCGAAGGCGGCAUCCUGGACCGAUACUGACGCUGAGGAGCGAAAGCCAGGGGAGCAAACGGG